rnacentral:rRNA from 1 species
GCAGAACGCGAAGAACCUUACCAAGGCUUGACAUAUACGAGAACGGGCCAGAAAUGGUCAACUCUUUGGACACUCGUAUACAGGUGGUGCAUGGUUGUCGUCAGCUCGUGUCGUGAGAUGUUGGGUUAAGUCCCGCAACGAGCGCAACCCUCGUUCUAUGUUGCCAGCGGUUCGGCCGGGAACUCAUAGGAGACUGCCGGGGUCAACUCGGAGGAAGGUGGGGAUGACGUCAAAUCAUCAUGCCCCUUAUGUCUUGGGCUUCACGCAUGCUACAAUGGCCGGUACAAAGGGCUGCAAUACCGUAAGGUGGAGCGAAUCCCAAAAAGCCGGUCUCAGUUCGGAUUGAGGUCUGCAACUCGACCUCAUGAAGUCGGAGUCGCUAGUAAUCGCAGAUCAGCAACGCUGCGGUGAAUACGUUCCCGGGUCUUGUACACACCG